GGGAGGCAGCAGUGGGGAAUCUUGCGCAAUGGGGGGAACCCUGACGCAGCGACGCCACAUGCGGGACGGAGGCCUUCGGGUCGUAAACCGCUUUCAGCAGGGAAGAGUCAAGACAGUACCUGCAGAAGAAGCCCCGGCUAACUACGUGCCAGCAGCCGCGGUAAUACGUAGGGGGCGAGCGUUAUCCGGAUUCAUUGGGCGUAAAGCGCGCGUAGGCGGCCCGGCAGGCCGGGGGUCGAAGCGGGGGGCUCAACCCCCCGAAGCCCCCGGAACCUCCGCGGCUUGGGUCCGGUAGGGGAGGGUGGAACACCCGGUGUAGCGGUGGAAUGCGCAGAUAUCAAGAGGAACACCGGUGGCGAAGGCGGCCCUCUGGGCCGAGACCGGCGCUGAGGCGCGAAAGCUGGGGGAGCGAACAGGAUUAGAUACCCUGGUAGUCCCAGCCGUAAACGAUGGACGCUAGGUGUGGGGGGACGAUCCCCCCGCGCCGCAGCCAACGCAUUAAGCGUCCCGCCUGGGGAGUACGGCCGCAAGGCUAAAACUCAAAGGAAUUGACGGGGGCCCGCACAAGCAGCGGAGCAUGUGGCUUAAUUUGAAGCAACGCGAAGAACCUUACCAGGGCUUGACAUAUGGGUGAAGCGGGGGAGACCCCGUGGCCGAGAGGAGCCCAUACAGGUGGUGCAUGGCUGUCGUCAGCUCGUGUCGUGAGAUGUUGGGUUAAGUCCCGCAACGAGCGCAACCCCCGCCGCGUGUUGCCAUCGGGUGAUGCCGGGAACCCACGCGGGACCGCCGCCGUCAAGGCGGAGGAGGGCGGGGAGGACGUCAAGUCAUCAUGCCCCUUAUGCCCUGGGCUGCACACGUGCUACAAUGGCCGGUACAGAGGGAUGCCACCCCGCGAGGGGGAGCGGAUCCCGGAAAGCCGGCCCCAGUUCGGAUUGGGGGGUGCAACCCGCCCCCACGAAGUCGAAGUUGCUAGUAAUCGCGGAUCAGCAUGCCGCGGUGAA
rnacentral:rRNA from 1 species